rnacentral:rRNA from 1 species
GCAGCAGCCACGGUAAUACGGAGGGUGCAAGCGUUAAUCGGAAUUACUGGGCGUAAAGCGCACGCAGGCGGUUUGUUAAGUCAGAUGUGAAAUCCCCGAGCUUAACUUGGGAACUGCAUUUGAAACUGGCAAGCUAGAGUCUUGUAGAGGGGGGUAGAAUUCCAGGUGUAGCGGUGAAAUGCGUAGAGAUCUGGAGGAAUACCGGUGGCGAAGGCGGCCCCCUGGACAAAGACUGACGCUCAGGUGCGAAAGCGUGGGGAGCAAACAGGAUUAGAUACCCCUGUAGUCCCUGUCUCUUAUAC